rnacentral:rRNA from 1 species
GCAGUAGCCGCGGGAAUACAGAGGGUGCGAGCGUUAAUCGGAUUUACUGGGCGUAAAGCGUGCGUAGGCGGCUUCUUAAGUCGGAUGUGAAAUCCCUGAGCUUAACUUAGGAAUUGCAUUCGAUACUGGGAAGCUAGAGUAUGGGAGAGGAUGGUAGAAUUCCAGGUGUAGCGGUGAAAUGCGUAGAGAUCUGGAGGAAUACCGAUGGCGAAGGCAGCCAUCUGGCCUAAUACUGACGCUGAGGUACGAAAGCAUGGGGAGCAAACAGGAUUAGAUACCCAGUAGUCCCUGUCUCUUAUACA